UUGGUCGAUAUUCAACGUUAUAAACAUUCAGCUUAGAUGUUUUUGACGUUGAUAUUCAACGUCGUAAACAUUCAAAUUAUGUGUUUAUGACGUCGAUAUUCAACGUCAUAAACAUUCAACUUAGAUAUUUGUGAUGUUGAAUAUCUUCGGCAUAAACAUUCUACUUCGAUGUUUAUGACUUUGAUAUUCAACGCCAUAAACAUUCAACUUGGAUGUUUCUGACGUUGAAUACAGAACUA